rnacentral:rRNA from 1 species
UCUCCUGGAAAACGGGUGGUAAUGCCGGAUGCUCCAGUUGGAUGCAUGUCCUUCUGGGAAAGAUUCAUCGGUAUGGGAUGGGGUCGCGUCCUAUCAGCUUGAUGGCGGGGUAACGGCCCACCAUGGCUUCGACGGGUAGCCGGCCUGAGAGGGCGACCGGCCACAUUGGGACUGAGAUACGGCCCAGACUCCUACGGGAGGCAGCAGUGGGGAAUAUUGCACAAUGGGCGCAAGCCUGAUGCAGCGACGCCGCGUGCGGGAUGACGGCCUUCGGGUUGUAAACCGCUUUUGACUGGGAGCAAGCCCUUCGGGGUGAGUGUACCUUUCGAAUAAGCACCGGCUAACUACGUGCCAGCAGCCGCGGUAAUACGUAGGGUGCAAGCGUUAUCCGGAAUUAUUGGGCGUAAAGGGCUCGUAGGCGGUUCGUCGCGUCCGGUGUGAAAGUCCAUCGCUUAACGGUGGAUCCGCGCCGGGUACGGGCGGGCUUGAGUGCGGUAGGGGAGACUGGAAUUCCCGGUGUAACGGUGGAAUGUGUAGAUAUCGGAAAGAACACCA